rnacentral:rRNA from 1 species
AGUGAACGCUGGCGGUAGGCCUAACACAUGCAAGUCGAACGGCAGCACAGUAAGAGCUUGCUCUUACGGGUGGCGAGUGGCGGACGGGUGAGGAAUACAUCGGAAACUACUUUUUCGUGGGGGAUAACGUAGGGAAACUUACGCUAAUACCGCAUACGACCUACGGGUGAAAGCAGGGGAUCUUCGGACCUUGCGCGAUUGAAUGAGCCGAUGUCGGAUUAGCUAGUUGGGGGGGUAAAGGCCCACCAAGGCGACGAUCCGUAGCUGGUCUGAGAGGAUGAUCAGCCACACUGGAACUGAGACACGGUCCAGACUCCUACGGGAGGCAGCAGUGGGGAAUAUUGGACAAUGGGCGCAAGCCUGAUCCAGCCAUACCGCGUGGGUGAAGAAGGCCUUCGGGUUGUAAAGCCCUUUUGUUGGGAAAGAAAAGCAGCAGGUUAAUACCCCGCUGUUCUGACGGUACCCAAAGAAUAAGCACCGGCUAACUUCGUG